CAGUAGCCACGGGAAUACGAAGGGUGCAAGCGUUACUCGGAAUUACUGGGCGUAAAGCGUGCGUAGGUGGUGGUUUAAGUCCGUUGUGAAAGCCCUGGGCUCAACCUGGGAAUUGCAGUGGAUACUGGGUCACUAGAGUGUGGUAGAGGAUAGUGGAAUUUCCGGUGUAGCAGUGAAAUGCGUAGAGAUCGGAAGGAACAUCUGUGGCGAAGGCGACUAUCUGGGCCAACACUGACACUGAGGCACGAAAGCGUGGGGAGCAAACAGGAUUAGAUACCCGCGUAGUCCCUGUCUCUUAUAA
rnacentral:rRNA from 1 species